rnacentral:rRNA from 1 species
GAUGAACGCUGGCGGCGUGCCUAAUACAUGCAAGUCGAGCGAACAGACGAGGAGCUUGCUCCUCUGACGUUAGCGGCGGACGGGUGAGUAACACGUGGAUAACCUACCUAUAAGACUGGGAUAACUUCGGGAAACCGGAGCUAAUACCGGAUAAUAUAUUGAACCGCAUGGUUCAAUAGUGAAAGACGGUUUUGCUGUCACUUAUAGAUGGAUCCGCGCCGCAUUAGCUAGUUGGUAAGGUAACGGCUUACCAAGGCAACGAUGCGUAGCCGACCUGAGAGGGUGAUCGGCCACACUGGAACUGAGACACGGUCCAGACUCCUACGGGAGGCAGCAGUAGGGAAUCUGACGCAAUGGGCGAAAGCUUGACGGAGCAACGCCGCGUGAGUGAUGAAGGUCUUCGGAUCGUAAAACUCUGUUAUUAGGGAAGAACAAAUGUGUAAGUAACUAUGCACGUCUUGACGGUACCUAAUCAGAAAGCCACGGCUAACUACGUG